GACACGCACGCAAACAAACGACAGGGCGAGCGAGCGAGGGAGGGAGCUCGGCAGCUCGCUGUCCUGUGUAUAAAAUCCCCCACCCACCCGUGGCCACUGGCCAUCCACUGCAAGCCUAUCGUAUUGGCGCGAGAGCACCAUUGCCGAAGAGUGGGAGAGUCACUCGAUCAGCAGAGGAGAAGCCUCUUCUUCUCUUUGCUCUGUAGUCUGUACUGCGGUUUGUGGUGGUGGUGCUGGUGGGCGGCUGGUGGUGAUGGAGCACACCUCCAAGAAGAAGGCUUUGCUCGUCCUCUUCGCGUUCUCCUGCAUCCUCCUCCUUCCUCUGGCUUCCUCUGCUGCGCCUCUGUCCAGAAGCAUGUCCUUGGCGAACCACCGGCUCCCGGACCCUGCCGAUGUGGAGGUCCCUCUUCAGGGUGCGGAGCGAAACCUCGGCGAGGUGGCAGCGAGGAUGGAGAUCGAGGUCAACGACUACCCUGGGUCCGGCGCCAACAACCGCCACGAACCCAGGAGCCCCGGGAGAGCUUGAAGAAACCUCUGCGUCGGCGUGGGGAAGAAGAAGAAGAAGGUAGUUAGAGAGAGCAUGGUGUUUUGAGGGUUUCGAUCGGUAGGAGUACUGCUAGCUAGCUAUAAACUGUAGAGGUUAACGAGUCUUGUCCGGUAGUUUCGCCGUCUCGUCUCAGUGGCGAUGGAUCGAGCCUUGAGCUAGCUAGCGUAUUAUGGCCGGGUCCUCGCCGGCGUCGAUCGCCGUCCACUGUCAGGUCGAUCGAGUAGUGGGCAGAGCUAGUCGAUCUCUCUGCCUGCACCUCUCGAUCUCGACUGAAGAGAAAGAAGUUUUCUAGUCUUUCUACGUGUGGAAGUGUAUAAGCAUGUGUUAAUGUAAGUCUCAAGCCGGUGUCUGUGAUGACUCUGUUUGGCAGCGUAUAGUACAUCUUUGUUUUCGCGCUA